AAACUGCCUCAGUCCCAAACUGGAAGUCAAAAGCUGCCUUACUACAGCUUCAGCAGCAUGUAACUUUUCCUACCUUGCAUAUUUUAACAGCAUAAGUACCUAAACAGUAUUUGUUGGCAUUUAAAUAUACUUAGAUCAUAUUCCAUUUUAGCCUAAUUUAGUUUUGAUCUGCCAAGCAGUCAUUUCCAGAUUGUCAGGAGGAUACGAAGUAUAAGGGAGUCAUUUGAAUAAGGCUACCUUCUGCUGAUCCCACUUUGCCCCAGACAAGCCACAACUCUUUCUGAGGUACCCUGCAUGGGCUCUGGAUUCAUCUGAAUCAAAUGCACAUCCUUACUACUAAGAACUGGAGCUUAUGAGUCACAAGACCCAGGGCAGUAUGCUGUUGUUCUUGUCUGAUCAAACAUUUAAUUGGGCAACAACUCCUGUGAUUUAAGGCAUGGAAAGCCAUCAAACUUGUGGUGGCUUGAUGGAUACAGCAGGUGCCAAGAAGAUCAAGUCUCUUCUGAAUCACUACAGCUGUGAAGCACAUCUCCAAAUGACAUUAAACAUUUUCUUCUCCACA